AGGAUGCUCCUGUCCCUAAUGGCUAUUGUGGUCAUCCCUGGCAUACUGCAAUUCCUAAAACGCUGCUGGAAAAUUGCAUCUGGGAAGACUGUCUGAGCGGGGUCCUCUUAUUACAUCCAUAUUGAAGAAGGAGUUGCAAGGGUGGUGGAGAAACCUCCGAGCAGGAGUAUUUAGUACACAGUUUGGAGGAAAAGGUUGGAUUCUGGAUCCUGAGCUAUGACACAGGAUGCUGCUGAAUGGUGGCUCUGAAUGGUCCUUUUCUUUGUACAUGGUGUUUAUCAGUAAGAAAUUAGGGUGUUCAUCACUUGAGACUUGGCACCUCUAUGUGAUGAAAUCCAUAUACUGGCUGCGGUUGCAGGGCUGAGCAAAACACAGAACAGAUGAAGAGAUACAGGUCAAUAUGUGCAUUUAUAGUUGUUUGCCAAAAUGACACGGAUCCAGAGGAAUGUUUGAAUAUUAUCCAGAAAUUGUCAUUCGUGAAUACACAUCUACUGAGAUGACCCUAGAGAAUACACACCUGGGUUUUACUUAACCAAUUGCAGAAGAGAUACCAACUCAAGAGUCCUGAGACACUGAAACAUUUUCAGACAGGCCAACGCUUUUCUAAAAUAUCCUGGGAUUUGGGGUACAAUGGGCUGUAUUUUUAAUUUCAUUUAAAAAAAACCCAACCAAACCACCCCAAGCCCCCAACCCUAAGAAAGGGGCAGAAAAUGUACAAUGUUACCUCGGCUUGAGCAUUUUGAUGGAUAGGACACCUGGUUUGGUUUUAUUUUUUGGGGUUUUUUUGUUGGGUUUUUUUUUUCCACUUGCUUGUUUUUGUCUUGUCUUACAUAAGCAAUAGAUAAUUUUGAGAAGUGAUUCCUGCAGUUAAUGAUUUUCCCUGUAACCAUCAGGCCCUUUAUCUGGAAGAUGGUGGAGUUUAUGGAGAAAAACCUCUGGUUUAAGAGAUUAACAGUGCAAGAUUGUGUCCUCCAUACAGACUGAUUUUAAAAUGGGGUGAUAAAACUGCAUGUAAUACAUGAAAGUGUUCCUACUUGGGUCCCUGGGAAUAUCCUACUCCCUGGGACCUGGUACAAUAAAAACUGUUUGAUGUUUAGUCUAAAUUUUUCCUUUCUUAGUGUUGUCCUUGUUUCUAGUUGUUUCUCUUUUACUACCCUAACUUGUUAUUCUUCUGCUAGUUGUUUAUUUCUAACAGAUGCUUGUAGGCGGUUAACAUAUGUCCCC